rnacentral:rRNA from 1 species
GACGAACGCUGGCGGCAUGCCUAACACAUGCAAGUCGAACGAGACCUUCGGGUCUAGUGGCGCACGGGUGCGUAACGCGUGGGAAUCUGCCCUUCGGUUGGGAAUAACUGAGAGAAAUUUCAGCUAAUACCUUAUAAUGUCUUCGGACCAAAGAUUUAUCGCCGAGGGAUGAGCCCGCGUAGGAUUAGGUAGUUGGUGGGGUAAUGGCCUACCAAGCCGACGAUCCUUAGCUGGUCUGAGAGGAUGAUCAGCCACACUGGGACUGAGACACGGCCCAGACUCCUACGGGAGGCAGCAGUGGGGAAUAUUGGACAAUGGGCGAAAGCCUGAUCCAGCAAUGCCGCGUGAGUGAUGAAGGCCUUAGGGUUGUAAAGCUCUUUUACCCGGGAUGAUAAUGACAGUACCGGGAGAAUAAGCUCCGGCUAACUCCGUG